GGAGAGGUGGCCGAGGGGCCGAAGGCGGCGGUUUGCUAAACCGUUAUCCUGUUGAUAGCGGGAUCAUGGGUUCGAAUCCCAUCCUCUCCGCCA
rnacentral:tRNA from 1 species